CUGCAGCUCAAGUGGUGAUCAUUAUUAUUGGGCCUAAAACGUCCGUAGCCUGUUUAGUAAAUGCCUGGGUAAAUCGUGUAGCUUAAUUAUACGAAUUCCGGGUAGACUGCUAAACUUGAGACCGGGAGAGGCUAGAGGUACUCCUGGGGUAGAGGUGAAAUUCUGUAAUCCUAGGGGGACCACCAGUGGCGAAGGCGUCUAGCUAGAACGGGUCUGACGGUGAGGGACGAAGCCCUGGGGCACAAACCGGAUUAGAUACCCGAGUAGUCC
rnacentral:rRNA from 1 species